GGGUCUGGGAACCAUAUCCCAGAGGUUAAAUGAGCGAUGGUCGGGCCGCCAUCC
rnacentral:ncRNA from 2 species